rnacentral:rRNA from 1 species
GAUGAACGCUGGCGGCGUGCCUAAUACAUGCAAGUCGAGCGAAGCGGGGACGGGUGAGUAACACGUGGAUAACCUCCUAUAUGACUGGGAUAAAUUAGGGAAACCGUAGCCAAACCGGAAACUUAUAGAUGGUUCCGCGCUGCAGUAGCUAGUUGGUAAGGUAACGGCUUACCAAGGCAACGAUGCAUAGCCGACCUGAGAGGGUGAUCGGCCACACUGGAACUGAGACACGGUCCAGACUCCUACGGGAGGCAGCAGUAGGGAAUCUUCCGCAAUGGGCGAAAGCCUGACGGAGCAACGCCGCGUGAAUGAUGAAGGUCUUCGGGUCGUAAAACUCUGUCAUUAGGGAGGCGGUACCUAAUCAGAAAGCCACGGCUAACUACGUGCCAGCAGCCGCGGUAAUUC